AGGUCGGGGUGAUUGGCAGUAUU
rnacentral:miRNA from 1 species